rnacentral:miRNA from 1 species
GACGCUGAAGGGGCGCUGAGCAGAGAGGGGGAGAAUUUUCUUGUUCUCCCCCUCUCUGCUCAGCGCCCCUUCAGUGA